UACGGAGGGGGCAAGCGUUAUUCGGAAUCAUUGGGCGUAAAGGGCGCGUAGGCGGCUUGGCAAGUCAAAGGUGAAAUCCCUCGGCCCAACCGAGGAACUGCCUUUGAUACUGCCUCGCUUGAGGCCGGGAGAGGGUAGCGGAAUUCCCAGUGUAGCGGUGAAAUGCGUAGAUACUGGGAGGAACACCAGUGGCGAAGGCGGCUACCUGGACCGGUUCUGACGCUGAUGCGCGAAAGCGUGGGGAGCAAACAGG
rnacentral:rRNA from 1 species